UUAAGCGACUAAGCGUACACGGUGGAUGCCCUGGCAGUCAGAGGCGAUGAAGGACGUGCUAAUCUGCGAUAAGCGUCGGUAAGGUGAUAUGAACCGUUAUAACCGGCGAUUUCCGAAUGGGGAAACCCAGUGUGAUUCGUCACACUAUCAUUAACUGAAUCCAUAGGUUAAUGAAGCGAACCGGGGGAACUGAAACAUCUAAGUACCCCGAGGAAAAGAAAUCAACCGAGAUUCCCCCAGUAGCGGCGAGCGAACGGGGAGGAGCCCAGAGCCUGAAUCAGUGUGUGUGUUAGUGGAAGCGUCUGGAAAGGCGCGCGAUACAGGGUGACAGCCCCGUACACAAAAAUGCACAUGCUGUGAGCUCGAUGAGUAGGGCGGGACACGUGGUAUCCUGUCUGAAUAUGGGGGGACCAUCCUCCAAGGCUAAAUACUCCUGACUGACCGAUAGUGAACCAGUACCGUGAGGGAAAGGCGAAAAGAACCCCGGCGAGGGGAGUGAAAAAGAACCUGAAACCGUGUACGUACAAGCAGUGGGAGCACCUUCGGGUGUGACUGCGUACCUUUUGUAUAAUGGGUCAGCGACUUAUAUUCUGUAGCAAGGUUAACCGUAUAGGGGAGCCGCAGGGAAACCGAGUCUUAACUGGGCGUUAAGUUGCAGGGUAUAGACCCGAAACCCGGUGAUCUAGCCAUGGGCAGGUUGAAGGUUGGGUAACACUAACUGGAGGACCGAACCGACUAAUGUUGAAAAAUUAGCGGAUGACUUGUGGCUGGGGGUGAAAGGCCAAUCAAACCGGGAGAUAGCUGGUUCUCCCCGAAAGCUAUUUAGGUAGCGCCUCGUGAAUUCAUCUUCGGGGGUAGAGCACUGUUUCGGCUAGGGGGUCAUCCCGACUUACCAACCCGAUGCAAACUGCGAAUACCGAAGAAUGUUAUCACGGGAGACACACGGCGGGUGCUAACGUCCGUCGUGAAGAGGGAAACAACCCAGACCGCCAGCUAAGGUCCCAAAGUCAUGGUUAAGUGGGAAACGAUGUGGGAAGGCCCAGACAGCCAGGAUGUUGGCUUAGAAGCAGCCAUCAUUUAAAGAAAGCGUAAUAGCUCACUGGUCGAGUCGGCCUGCGCGGAAGAUGUAACGGGGCUAAACCAUGCACCGAAGCUGCGGCAGCGACACUAUGUGUUGUUGGGUAGGGGAGCGUUCUGUAAGCCUGCGAAGGUGUGCUGUGAGGCAUGCUGGAGGUAUCAGAAGUGCGAAUGCUGACAUAAGUAACGAUAAAGCGGGUGAAAAGCCCGCUCGCCGGAAGACCAAGGGUUCCUGUCCAACGUUAAUCGGGGCAGGGUGAGUCGACCCCUAAGGCGAGGCCGAAAGGCGUAGUCGAUGGGAAACAGGUUAAUAUUCCUGUACUUGGUGUUACUGCGAAGGGGGGACGGAGAAGGCUAUGUUAGCCGGGCGACGGUUGUCCCGGUUUAAGCAUGUAGGCUGGUUAUCCAGGCAAAUCCGGAUAAUCAAGGCUGAGGUGUGAUGACGAGGCACUACGGUGCUGAAGUAACAAAUGCCCUGCUUCCAGGAAAAGCCUCUAAGCAUCAGGUAACAUUAAAUCGUACCCCAAACCGACACAGGUGGUCAGGUAGAGAAUACCAAGGCGCUUGAGAGAACUCGGGUGAAGGAACUAGGCAAAAUGGUGCCGUAACUUCGGGAGAAGGCACGCUGGUGUGUAGGUGAAGUCCCUGCGGAUGGAGCUGAGACCAGUCGAAGAUACCAGCUGGCUGCAACUGUUUAUUAAAAACACAGCACUGUGCAAACACGAAAGUGGACGUAUACGGUGUGACGCCUGCCCGGUGCCGGAAGGUUAAUUGAUGGGGUUAUCCGUAAGGAGAAGCUCUUGAUCGAAGCCCCGGUAAACGGCGGCCGUAACUAUAACGGUCCUAAGGUAGCGAAAUUCCUUGUCGGGUAAGUUCCGACCUG
rnacentral:rRNA from 1 species